rnacentral:tRNA from 1 species
GCCUGGGUGGCUUAGUCAGUUAAGUAUUUGACUUCAGCUCAGGUCAUGAUCUUGGGGUCCGUGAGUUUGAGCCCCACAUCAGGCU